rnacentral:sRNA from 1 species
AGCCGUACCGGUUAGAUUGGGAUUCUCAUCAAUUACAACUUACACCGAGAAUGCUUAUCCCGCUGAUGGCGUGCCGAUAUGCGUAGCUAGCUGCGUAGGGUCGGAUUACAAAGGCAGGAAGGGCGCUCAAAUCUUAUUUUACUCGGAGUAUCAUCACAUCAUCGGUACGGCCUUUUU